GGUUACCACUGGAGGGCACCCUUACCUUGUUUCUAGUGUCCAGGUUUCCCUGAUUGUUAUCAUUGGUUUCACCUGUGUGUUGAUUGCCCUCUCGGUUCACCUGUUGACUGGCUAUUUAGGUUCCUCUGUGGGCAGAUCUCUUUGCUUAGGUCUCAUGUUUUGAUUACUGUGCAGGUGUCCUUUCCUUUGUUCUGUGAAGACCUCAGUAAAUGUUCUGGAUUUACCCCUGCCUGCUGUGUUUCGCUGCGCCUGGGUUUGUACUAGCAUUAUUGUCACACAGUGGCCACGUGCUCCAGGCUGCAGUAGACUACCUAUUUAACUUUCAUCUCCAACUUUCAUCACUGCAAGUUAAAAGGCCAUACAGUUAAAAUGAUGCAUAAGGUCACAGCAUUCCGUAAGGUCACAGCAUUCCGUAAGGUCACAGCAUUCCGUAAGGUCACAGCAUUCCGUAAGGUCACAGCAUUCCAUAUGGUCACAGCAUUCCAUACUUGUGAAAGGGGCACUUGUUGGUAGCCUUGAGUUUUCAGUUUGCUUCCAUGGCUGGUUUCACAUUUGUCUCCAGCAUGCAAAAGUAAAAAUCAUCUAAAACAAUCUGUAUUUACAAUCCCCUUCUCCAAACAGAUUAGAACCUACUACUUUAUCUAGUUUGAAUUUUACAACUUAAAAAACAACAAUUAAACUUUAGCCCCACCCAUCUCUUUAAGGAUUCACAUGUGAGGCCAUGUACUAAACAACCAAAGAUUUCAAGACUAAAGACUGGUUUAUACAACGGGUGUGUUCAUAAAUUUUAUCUGGAGUGCCAGAGUGUUUUCUGGGCAUUCAUAAACUCAGAGCGUUGUCAGAUUGUCCCUUCAUAAAUUCAGAGUGUUACGCCCUCGGAGCGUUCAGCGCGCCACACUGGUCGAGGAGAAGUGAUGAUUUGAGCAUUCUGCCCUUACAACAGCAGUCAAGCACCCAAGCUAACUGGCUAACGUUGGCUAGCUUGCGAGUUACUUCCAGACACACAAUGAGAGAACACCUCACUCUGACCAGUUUACUCAGUCUAGCAGAGCUGGUUAGGCUGUUUUCAUGCAACUGUGCUGCUGGCAACAAUUUAAUUACGCUUUUUUUGCCAACGUUUACCGACACCGGCCAUAUUCAGUGGGUGUUGAGCGUUCGUAAAUUCGGCAGUUAUUCUGUAAGAACAGCAAAAGACCAAUCAUGAAUUAAAUGACCAAAUCUAGGCAACAUAUUUUUUGUUAAUUUUAAGCAGGGUUUACUGAUUCCAUGACAGAUUGAGAGCAGGGUUUACUGAUUCCCAUGACAGAUUGAGAGCAGGGUUUAC
ensembl:lncRNA